CCCUUUGUUUAUGAACCCUAGUCACACCUCCCUGCAUGUGACUUGCACAGCCUUCCAUAAACACUUCCUGUAAAGAGAGCCCUAUUUAGGCUUUCUUUAUUGCAAGUUCUGUUUAAUUAAGAUUUUCUUAUCCCCUGCUAUGUUAAUAGCUUGCUAGACCCUGCAAGAGCCUCCUGUAUGUGAUUAAAGUUCAAUUUAGAGAUUGAGAUACAAUUAUUUAAGGUAAAUUACAUCUGUUUGAAAGUGAAACCAGUUUUUUUUUCAUGCAGGCUCUGUCGAUCAUAGCCAGGGGAGGUGUGGCUAGG